UACAGAGGGGGCAAGCGUUAUUCGGAAUUAUUGGGCGUAAAGGGCGCGUAGGCGGCUUUGCAAGUGGCGGGUGAAAUCCCUCGGCUUAACCGAGGAACUGCCUGUCAAACUGCAUGGCUUGAGACCAGGAGAGGUGAGUGGAAUUCCCAGUGUAGCGGUGAAAUGCGUAGAUAUUGGGAGGAACACCAGUGGCGAAGGCGGCUCACUGGACUGGUACUGACGCUGAGAUGCGAAAGUGUGGGGAGCAAACGGG
rnacentral:rRNA from 1 species